GGCCAGACUCCUACGGGAGGCAGCAGUGGGGAAUAUUGGGCAAUGGGCGCAAGCCUGACCCAGCAACGCCGCGUGAAGGAAGAAGGCUUUCGGGUUGUAAACUUCUUUUCUCAGGGACGAAGAAAGUGACGGUACCUGAGUAAGAAGCCCCGGCUAACUACGUGCCAGCAGCCGCGGUAAUACGUAGGGGGCAAGCGUUAUCCGGAUUUACUGGGUGUAAAGGGAGCGUAGACGGAUGGAUAAGUCUGAAGUGAAAGCCCGCGGCUCAACGGCGGGUAUGCUUUGGAAACUGUGCAUCUUGAGUACGGGAGGGGCAGGCGGAAUUCCUGGUGUAGCGGUGAAAUGCGUAGAUAUCAGGAGGAACACCGGCGGUGAAGGCGGCCUGCUGGACCGAAACUGACGUUGAGGCUCGAAAGCGUGGGGAGCACACAGGAUUAGAUACCCGCGUAU
rnacentral:rRNA from 1 species